rnacentral:rRNA from 1 species
UACGAAGGGGGCGAGCGUUGUUCGGAAUUACUGGGCGUAAAGGGCGCGUAGGCGGCGACUCAAGUUAGAUGUGAAAGUCCUGGGCUUAACCUGGGGACUGCAUUUGAUACUGGGUUGCUUGAAUUCGGGAGAGGAUAGCGGAAUUCCCAGUGUAGAGGUGAAAUUCGUAGAUAUUGGGAAGAACACCGGUGGCGAAGGCGGCUAUCUGGACCGACAUUGACGCUGAGGCGCGAAAGCGUGGGGAGCAAACGGG